UACGGGGGGGGCGAGCGUUGUUCGGAAUUACUGGGCGUAAAGGGUUUGUAGGUGGUCUGCUAAGUCAGACGUGAAAUCCCUCAGCUUAACUGGGGAACUGCGUCUGAUACUGGCGGACUUGAGGACAGGAGAGGAACGCGGAAGUUCCAGGUGUAGCGGUGAAAUGCGUAGAUAUCUGGAGGAACACCGGUGGCGAAGGCGGCGUUCUGGACUGUUUCUGACACUGAAAAACGAAAGCCAGGGGAGCAAACGGG
rnacentral:rRNA from 1 species